rnacentral:pre_miRNA from 1 species
GCGGGUACAAGGAAUCUACUUUAUUCAGCACACUAACCUAAUUUCUGAGACAUGUUACAUAUCUGAAACAUGUCUUAGCAAUUAGGUUUUUCUUGGUUUGUGUGAUGAACAAAGUAGAUUUCUUGUACCCA